rnacentral:rRNA from 1 species
UACGUAGGGUGCAAGCGUUAAUCGGAAUUACUGGGCGUAAAGCGUGCGCAGGCGGUUCGUUGUGUCGGCGGUGAAAGCCCCGGGCUUAACCUGGGAAUGGCCGUUGAAACUGGCGGACUGGAGUGUGGCAGAGGGGGGUGGAAUUCCGCGUGUAGCAGUGAAAUGCGUAGAGAUGCGGAGGAACACCGAUGGCGAAGGCAGCCCCCUGGGCUAACACUGACGCUCAGGCACGAAAGCGUGGGGAGCAAACAGG